GCCCCACUAGCUCAGUUGGCUAGAGCGUUCGGCUUUUAACCGAAAUGUCGAGGGUUCGAACCCCUCGUGGGGCG